UAAACUAGCCGAGUAGAUUUCUGUGACGGA
rnacentral:piRNA from 1 species